rnacentral:rRNA from 1 species
GACGAACGCUGGCGGCGUGCUUAACACAUGCAAGUCGAACGGAAAGGCCCUGCUUUUGUGGGGUGCUCGAGUGGCGAACGGGUGAGUAACACGUGAGUAACCUGCCCUUGACUUUGGGAUAACUUCAGGAAACUGGGGCUAAUACCGGAUAGGAGCUCCUGCUGCAUGGUGGGGGUUGGAAAGUUUCGGCGGUUGGGGAUGGACUCGCGGCUUAUCAGCUUGUUGGUGGGGUAGUGGCUUACCAAGGCUUUGACGGGUAGCCGGCCUGAGAGGGUGACCGGCCACAUUGGGACUGGGAUGAGGCCCAAGCUCCUGCGGGAGGCAGCAGGGGGGGAUAUUGCACAAAGGGCGGAAGCCUGAUGCAGCAACGCCGCGGGGGGGAAGGCGGCCUUCGGGUUGGAAACCGCUUUUGCCUGGGACGGAGCGGGGAGGACGGUAAUGGGUAAAGGAACACCGGCUAACUACGGG